UGCGUAGGCGGGCAAAUAAGUCAGUGGUGAAAUCCUGCGGCUCAACCGUAGAACUGCCAUUGAUACUGUUAGACUUGAAUAUAGUUGAGGUAGGCGGAAUGUGUUGUGUAGCGGUGAAAUGCUUAGAUAUAACACAGAACACCGAUUGCGAAGGCAGCUUACUAGACUAUUAUUGACGCUGAGGUACGAAAGCGUGGGGAGCGAACAGGAUUAGAUACCCUGGUAGUCC
rnacentral:rRNA from 1 species